rnacentral:SRP_RNA from 2 species
GCCGGGUGUCGUGGUGGGCACCUGUAAUCCCAGCUACUCGGGAGGCUGAGGUGGGAGAAUUGCUUGAGCCUGGGAGGCGGAGGUUGCAGUGAGCCAAGAUUGUGCCACUGUACUCCAGCCCAGGCAACAGAGCAAGACUCCCUCUA